UGCGUAGGCGGAAUUUUAAGUCAGUGGUGAAAUCCUGCAGCUUAACUGUAGAACUGCCAUUGAUACUGAUAUUCUUGAAUUUAGUUGAGGUGGGCGGAACGUGUAAUGUAGCGGUGAAAUGCUUAGAUAUUACACAGAACACCGAUUGCGAAGGCAGCUCACUAAACUAACAUUGACGCUGAGGCACGAAAGCGUGGGUAGCGAACAGGAUUAGAUACCCUGGUAGUCC
rnacentral:rRNA from 1 species